rnacentral:rRNA from 1 species
UACGGGGGGGGGCAAGCGUUGUUCGGAAUUACUGGGCUUAAAGGGCUCGUAGGCGGCCAACUAAGUCAGACGUGAAAUCCCUCGGCUUAACCGGGGAACUGCAUCUGAUACUGGAUGGCUUGAGUUCGGGAGAGGGAUGCGGAAUUCCAGGUGUAGCGGUGAAAUGCGUAGAUAUCAGGAGGAACACCGAUGGCGAAGGCAGCUCGCUGGGACGGUACUGACGCUGAGGCGCGAAAGCGUGGGGAGCAAACAGG